GAGAGAGAGAGAGAAAACGAUUUCAUUUAUUCAACAAAUAUUGAAUACCGAUACAGAAUCACAGACUAUGAAGGAUCCCUGAUGAAAGGGUAUAAGAAGCCUAAAUUCAGUGCCCGACCGGCCCUUCCGGAGACAAUUCCAACACAACACGCAAGAGCAGCAGUGUUGUAGGGGGAACUCCGAGGAACAGGAGGGGGUCAAGUUCAGGCAAGAAUCCCAGAGGCUUUCCCGAGGUGCUAACAGGACGGUGUACCCCGAAGACAGGCAGGAGCGGCUGCGGACAGAAGAGGCGUGCUUGCAGGACUGGGGUAUCUGGGAAACCCAACAGCUCGACGAUGCUGGUUUCAUUUUUUUUUAAAUUUUUUUUUUUAACGUUUAUUUAUUUUUGGGACAGAGAGAGACAGAGCAUGAACGGGGGAGGGGCAGAGAGAGAGGGAGACACAGAAUCGGAAGCAGGCUCCAGGCUCUGAGCCAUCAGCCCAAAGCCUGAUGCAGGGCUCGAACCCACGGACGUGAGAUCGUGACCUGAGCCGAAGUCGGACGCCCAACUGACUGAGCCACCCAGGUGCCCCAAUGCUGGUUUCAAUCAACCUUCGUGGAAGACGCUGGAAGGAGGUGCCCGGGAGAAACCUCUUGCAAAGGUGAUCUUUUGCUCCUAGUCUCAAACGUCAAGAGAUUGGACUGUACGCACAGGCCAUCCUUUGAAGCUAGCACCUUCUCCCACCCCGCGAGAACCCAUACACCCUACAUGUGGGGCGCGCAGGUGCCUCUGGCCCCGGUCAGGAAAUGAUGACACGAAGGGGUGCGGGUUGUUUCCUGAUGUCUUCACCUGCCCCCCCCCCCCCUCAAAAGUUGUCCACGCUGGAGCUUCUCAAACAGCUUCUUAAAUCUGGCUGGUCUGUGACAUGAAAAAGGGCAAAGGGAGGGGGAGCCUGACCAUUGCCGUAGGUCAUAUGACACGCCACACAAUCCUCUUGCUGCUCUGAUUAGUCACCCUGCUCCAAGCACUUCGUCACACUGUAUGUCAUUUUUGCUUCCGCCAGGAACGUUCUUUCACUGUUACUAACUGGACAAAAACUCAUCUUGAGGAAGCCUCUCCUGAAUAACCUCAACAUUCUUGUAUUUAUCAUCUUUGCACUUGUUAUCUGCCGCCUUAGGCAACAGGACACGUGAUAACAUUUUUUGACAGUUGAUGAAGUAUGUACUGUCUAUUCCUGUGUUCCUGCGUCUUCUAGAAUUUUCUAAGGAGCUACGCUCAAACCGCACAGGAAAAAACUCCUAGGAUCUCGCUAAAACAUCUUUGAAAAUGCCUGCCACAUUUGUGAUUCAGUGAGUGAGAACACCGUGCUCACCAGUCGGAGCUCUGCGCUCAAGCCUGGCUUAGACAUGCUCCCUAACAGGGCAGGAACUCACUUCUUAACCUUUGCUACUUGUUUCAAAAACUCUCAAACUUGUCAAGGGGGCCUAGGUGACGGUCUAAAGCUGCAUCAGCACAAAUCUGUCUGAUCUACUGGAAAAACAACUCAAAGUACAAGUUUUGCCAUUUCAAAAGUUCUAUUUGGCCAAAUAAUUUUAAGUAUGUUGGAAGAGUUAAAUAUUUAAAGAACUAUUUCUGUGUAACCAGGAUUUCCAGGCUCUGGGCAUAUUUUUGGAGUAACAGUCAAUGGCAGGGAAGCCCCAACAAUUCAACAGGCUAUUUGCACAAUCCCUUGGAAGUAGCCAGACUGUGGAGUCAAAUUUAAAUUAUUCGUGGUCACAGGAAGCAAAGACUACACCAACCAAAGUGCACAGAGAAUUCGAGAAUGUUAUUUUAGCAAUUUCAACGUUUUGAGAGCAAAUCUUUUGUGCCUGUUCCCUAAUUUAGGUGCUAACAGUUACAGUUGAGGUCCUAGUAAGGCAAGUAACCUGGGAAGGAAGAAAAACCCCAAAUAUCCCAACAUCAACCGCUGGGUAGUUGACAUUUAGCUUUACGGAAGCUAAUUCUGUUCUUAAUUAAUAUCGCCCUCUUCAAAGCAUAUCCAGCCUUAAUUCCAUGAAACAAACAAACAAACCAAC